CUCCUACGGGAGACAGCAGUGGGGAAUCUUGCACAAUGGGGGAAACCCUGGAUGCAGCGACGCCGCGUGAGUGAUGAAGCUCUUCGGAGUGUAAAGCUCUUUCGGCAGGGAAGAGAUAAGACGGUACCUGCAAAAGAAGACCCCGGCUAACCUACGUGCCAGCAGCCGGUAAUAC
rnacentral:rRNA from 1 species